GACGAACGCUGGCGGCGUGCUUAACACAUGCAAGUCGAACGGAAAGGCCCUGCUUUUGUGGGGUGCUCGAGUGGCGAACGGGUGAGUAACACGUGAGUAACCUGCCCUUGACUUUGGGAUAACUUCAGGAAACUGGGGCUAAUACCGGAUAGGAGCUCCUGCUGCAUGGUGGGGGUUGGAAAGUUUCGGCGGUUGGGGAUGGACUCGCGGCUUAUCAGCUUGUUGGUGGGGUAGUGGCUUACCAAGGCUUUGACGGGUAGCCGGCCGGAGAGGGUGACCGGCCACAUUGGGACGGAGAUACGGCCCAGACACAUACGGGAGGCAGGAGUGGGGAAUAUGGAACAAGGGGCGGAAGCAUGAUGCAGCAACGACGGGGGCGGGAGGACGGCAUUCGGGUUGUAAACCGCUUUCGCCUGUGACGAAGCGUGAGUGACGGAAAUGGGUAAAGAAGCACGGGCUAACUACGU
rnacentral:rRNA from 1 species